rnacentral:rRNA from 1 species
CCCUUAGUAACUGCGAGUGAAGAGGGAAAAGCUCAAAUUUAAAAUCUGGCAGUGUUUUGCUGUCCGAGUUGUAACCUAGAGAAGUGUAACCUGUGCUGGACCGUGUAUAAGUCUCCUGGAAUGGAGCAUCAUAGAGGGUGAGAAUCCCGUCUUUGACAUGGACUACCAGUGCAUUGUGGUUGCGCACUCAACGAGUCGAGUUGUUUGGGAAUGCAGCUCUAAAUGGGUGGUAAAUUCCAUCUAAAGCUAAAUAUUGGCGAGAGACCGAUAGCGAACAAGUACCGUGAGGGAAAGAUGAAAAGAACUUUGGAAAGAGAGUUAAACAGUAUGUGAAAUUGUUGAAAGGGAAACGUUUGAAGUCAGUCGCGUUGGUUGGGGAUCAGCCUGACAUUGUUGGGUGUACUUCCUGGUUGACGGGCCAACAUCAGUUUUGACUGCCAGAAAAAGGCCAAAGGAAUGUGGCACCUUUGGGUGUGUUAUAGCCAUUGGUCGUAUAUGGUGGUUGGGACUGAGGAAAGCAGCGUGCCGAAAGGCCGGGUUUCGACCACGUUCACGCUGAGGAUGUUGGCAUAAUGGCUUUAAGCGACCCGUCUUGAAACACGGACCAAGGAGUCUAACAUGCGUGCGAGUGUUUGGGUGGAAAACCCUUACGCGUAAUGAAAGUGAAAGUUGAGAUCCCUGUCGCGGGGAGCAUCGACGCCCGGACCAGAACUUUUGGGACGGAUCUGCGGUAGAGCAUGUAUGUUGGGACCCGAAAGAUGGUGAACUAUGCCUGAAUAGGGUGAAGCCAGAGGAAACUCUGGUGGAGGCUCGUAGCGAUUCUGACGUGCAAAUCG